AACGAACGCUGGCGGCAUGCCUAACACAUGCAAGUCGAACGAGACCUUCGGGUCUAGUGGCGCACGGGUGCGUAACGCGUGGGAACCUGCCCUUAGGUUCGGAAUAACUCCCCGAAAGGGGUGCUAAUACCGGAUAAUGUCUUCGGGCCAAAGAUUUAUCGCCUUUGGAUGGGCCCGCGUUGGAUUAGCUAGUUGGUAGGGUAAAAGCCUACCAAGGCGACGAUCCAUAGCUGGUCUGAGAGGAUGAUCAGCCACACUGGGACUGAGACACGGCCCAGACUCCUACGGGAGGCAGCAGUGGGGAAUAUUGGACAAUGGGCGAAAGCCUGAUCCAGCAAUGCCGCGUGAGUGAUGAAGGCCUUAGGGUUGUAAAGCUCUUUUACCCGGGAUGUUAAUGACAGUACCGGGAGAAUAAGCUCCGGCUAACUCCGUG
rnacentral:rRNA from 1 species